CAGUCGCCGCGGGAAUACAGAGGGUGCGAGCGUUAAUCGGAUUUACUGGGCGUAAAGCGUGCGUAGGCGGCUUCUUAAGUCGGAUGUGAAAUCCCCGGGCUCAACCUGGGAACUGCAUUCGAAACUGGCAGGCUAGAGUCUUGUAGAGGGGGGUAGAAUUCCAGGUGUAGCGGUGAAAUGCGUAGAGAUCUGGAGGAAUACCGGUGGCGAAGGCGGCCCCCUGGACAAAGACUGACGCUCAGGUGCGAAAGCGUGGGGAGCAAACAGGAUUAGAUACCCGCGUAGUCCCUGUCUCUUAUAC
rnacentral:rRNA from 1 species